UACGUAGGGGGUAAGCGUUGUCCGGAUUUAUUGGGCGUAAAGAGCGUGUAGGCGGCCAGACAGGUCCGUUGUGAAAACUCGAGGCUCAACCUCGAGAUGUCCGAUGGAAACCGUCUGGCUAGAGUCCGGAAGAGGAGUGUGGAAUUCCUGGUGUAGCGGUGAAAUGCGCAGAUAUCAGGAAGAACACCUAUGGCGAAGGCAGCACUCUGGGACGGUACUGACGCUGAGACGCGAAGCGUGGGGAGCGAACAGG
rnacentral:rRNA from 1 species